rnacentral:rRNA from 1 species
UACGUAGGGUGCAAGCGUUAAUCGGAAUUACUGGGCGUAAAGCGUGCGCAGGCGGUGAUGUAAGACAGAUGUGAAAUCCCCGGGCUCAACCUGGGAACUGCAUUUGUGACUGCAUCGCUGGAGUACGGCAGAGGGGGAUGGAAUUCCGCGUGUAGCAGUGAAAUGCGUAGAUAUGCGGAGGAACACCGAUGGCGAAGGCAAUCCCCUGGGCCUGUACUGACGCUCAUGCACGAAAGCGUGGGGAGCAAACAGGAUAGAUACCCCGUG